ACAACCACUUCUUCAAGGACCAAAGGGGAAGGUUCCCUGGAUCGAACACAACGGCGUGACGAUGGGAGACUCACAGUUAAUAAUACAGUACUUAGAGAAAGAGUUCAAGGUGAAUCUGAAUUCUCACCUGUCUCCAAAGGAAAGGGCUCUUGCCUGGGCCAUACAGAAGUAGCAGGAUGAAUUCACAUAUUGCGGCAUGAAAUAAUAAACGAGUACCCAGUACAGGCUGACCAUUUAUACACGAUGGGGGAUUU